AUGUAAAUCAGGAGUGGCUAACGGGUGAGUAACACGUGGGUAACCUGCCCAUCAGAAGGGGAUAACACUUGGAAACAGGUGCUAAUACCGUAUAACAAUCAAAACCGCAUGGUUUUGAUUUGAAAGGCGCUUUCGGGUGUCGCUGAUGGAUGGACCCGCGGUGCAUUAGCUAGUUGGUGAGGUAACGGCUCACCAAGGCCACGAUGCAUAGCCGACCUGAGAGGGUGAUCGGCCACAUUGGGACUGAGACACGGCCCAAACUCCUACGGGAGGCAGCAGUAGGGAAUCUUCGGCAAUGGACGAAAGUCUGACCGAGCAACGCCGCGUGAGUGAAGAAGGUUUUCGGAUCGUAAAACUCUGUUGUUAGAGAAGAACAAGGAUGAGAGUAACUGUUCAUCCCUUGACGGUAUCUAACCAGAAAGCCACGGCUAACUACGUGCCAGCAGCCGCGGUAAUACGUAGGUGGCAAGCGUUGUCCGGAUUUAUUGGGCGUAAAGCGAGCGCAGGCGGUUUCUUAAGUCUGAUGUGAAAGCCCCCGGCUCAACCGGGGAGGGUCAUUGGAAACUGGGAGACUUGAGUGCAGAAGAGGAGAGUGGAAUUCCAUGUGUAGCGGUGAAAUGCGUAGAUAUAUGGAGGAACACCAGUGGCGAAGGCGGCUCUCUGGUCUGUAACUGACGCUGAGGCUCGAAAGCGUGGGGAGCAAACAGGAUUAGAUACCCUGGUAGUCCACGCCGUAAACGAUGAGUGCUAAGUGUUGGAGGGUUUCCGCCCUUCAGUGCUGCAG
rnacentral:rRNA from 1 species